AGGGAAACCGAGUCUUAACUGGGCGUUAAGUUGCAGGGUAUAGACCCGAAACCCGGUGAUCUAGCCAUGGGCAGGUUGAAGGUUGGGUAACACUAACUGGAGGACCGAACCGACUAAUGUUGAAAAAUUAGCGGAUGACUUGUGGCUGGGGGUGAAAGGCCAAUCAAACCGGGAGAUAGCUGGUUCUCCCCGAAAGCUAUUUAGGUAGCGCCUCGUGAACUCAUCUUCGGGGGUAGAGCACUGUUUCGGCUAGGGGGUCAUCCCGACUUACCAACCCGAUGCAAACUGCGAAUACCGAAGAAUGUUAUCACGGGAGACACACGGCGGGUGCUAACGUCCGUCGUGAAGAGGGAAACAACCCAGACCGCCAGCUAAGGUCCCAAAGUCACAGUUAAGUGGGAAACGAUGUGGGAAGGCUCAGACAGCCAGGAUGUUGGCUUAGAAGCAGCCAUCAUUUAAAGAAAGCGUAAUAGCUCACUGGUCGAGUCGGCCUGCGCGGAAGAUGUAACGGGGCUAAACUGUGCACCGAAGCUGCGGCAGCGACGCUUAUGCGUUGUUGGGUAGGGGAGCGUUCUGUAAGCCUGCGAAGGUGUCCUGUGAGGGAUGCUGGAGGUAUCAGAAGUGCGAAUGCUGACAUAA
rnacentral:rRNA from 1 species